rnacentral:ncRNA from 1 species
AAGAAUAUCCCCUUUGUACGAAAGGAAUUGGGUAUGUUGACCUAUAGUUUACUUGUUGUUUAUUAAAUAAGUAUUUUAACUAAAGUACCAUAUUUUAAUAGGCAUAGCAAGAAAGCCACGUCAAUCAAAGAUAAGAGCUGAAAGCAUAUAAGCACGAAACUUAUUU